CCUACGGGAGGCAGCAGUGAGGAAUAUUGGUCAAUGGACGAGAGUCUGAACCAGCCAAGUAGCGUGAAGGAUGACGGCCCUAUGGGUUGUAAACUUCUUUUAUAGGGGAAUAAAAUGUGCCACGUGUGGGAUUUUGUAUGUACCAGAUGAAUAAGGAUCGGCUAACUCCGUGCCAGCAGCCGCGGUAAUACGGAGGAUCCGAGCGUUAUCCGGAGUUAUUGGGGUUAAAGGGAGCGUAGGUGGAUUGUUCAGUCCGUGGUGAAAGUUUGCGGCUCAACCGUAAAAUUGCCGUUUAAACUGGCAUUCUUGAGUACAGUAGAGGUGGGCGGAAUUCGUGGUGUAGCGG
rnacentral:rRNA from 1 species